rnacentral:lncRNA from 1 species
UCUACUGUUAACUUGGUUUUGCAAAAUCCUCCUCUGCUUCGAUGCUCAUCCUCAACUAUCUGCUCAAAGCUCCAUCUCUAAGGUAAGUGUUUAAUUGUUCUUCCUCUUUUCUUUAGAUCGAUGGAAUGAGCUUCUAAGAAGCUAAUACCACCAUCAGAUCAAAAGAAUCGAUUUAGAAACAAUACAAAUUGACCUUAUGAUGCCAAUAGGUUUCCAAGUCUUAAUAGUUAGAGCUACAUAUCGGAAUUGGUGGAUCUAUUGUUUGGAUACUCCUACCAUUAGCACCCCAAGGUCUCACUGGGUGUAGGUGUUUGCAUCCAAUGGAAUCACUCCGAACAGUAGGUAUCACCUUUUCCUUUAUUGUAACUCCUUACUCUAAUGUUACAACGGAACCCAGUGCACAAAUUAACUUCUUUGCAUCAUGUUUUCGAUGUUGUCUGUGAAGCAAACUUUGUAAACAUGGUCAAUGUUCUACGUCUCGAUUCAAACCAUCUGCAACAUUUUCCAGUAAGUCCAAUGGUUUCCACUCUAUAUUCCUCUUUUAUCAAAUUUUAAGUCAAUGGAGUGAGCUUUUUAAGCUAAUACCACCAAUCGAUCAAAACGUUUCAAGGGGAGAGUGUUUGAUAACCAUUUGAAUUUUGUUGCAGGAUUUACUAACAGAAACACUGAGAUCACCAACUAACGGAUGUAAAUGCCCAUAAACAGGAACUUCCAACAUCUAUA